AUGAACGCUGGCGGCGUGCCUAAUACAUGCAAGUCGAACGCUGGAAAUCUAGCUUGCUAGAUUGAAGGAGUGGCGAACGGGUGAGUAAUACAUAAGCAACCUACCCACGAAGACUGGGAUAAUCUCUGGAAACGGGGACUAAUACCGGAUAGGUAAUCGGAAGGCAUCUUCUGAUUAUUAAAGGUUAAAAACACUGGUGGAUGGGCUUAUGGCGCAUUAGUUAGUUGGUGAGGUAACGGCCCACCAAGACGACGAUGCGUAGCCGGCCUGAGAGGGUGAACGGCCACAUUGGGACUGAGACACGGCCCAGACUCCUACGGGAGGCAGCAGUAGGGAAUUUUCGGCAAUGGGGGAAACCCUGACCGAGCAACGCCGCGUGAGUGAUGACGGCCUUCGGGUUGUAAAGCUCUGUUGUAAGGGAAGAACGGUAGAUAGAGAAUAUCUAAAUGACGGUACCUUACCAGAAAGCCACGGCUAACUACGUG
rnacentral:rRNA from 1 species